GAUGAACGCUAGCGGCAGGCUUAAUACAUGCAAGUCGAACGGUAACAGGUCUGUAGCAAUACAGAUGCUGACGAGUGGCAGACGGGUGAGGAACACGUACACAACUUCCCUUUAUCUGGUGAACAGCCCCGAGAAAUCGGGAUUAAUACACCAUAGCAUCUUGGAGUGACAUCACUUUGAGAUUAAAGCUCAGGCGGAUAGAGAUGGGUGGCGUCUGAUUAGCUAGUUGGUUGAGGUAACGGCUCACCAAGGCGACGAUCAGUAACUGGUGUGAGAGCACGA
rnacentral:rRNA from 1 species